rnacentral:rRNA from 1 species
AAUAGCGGAGGAAAAGAAACCAACUGGGAUUACCUUAGUAACGGCGAGUGAAGCGGUAAAAGCUCAAAUUUGAAAUCUGGUACUUUCAGUGCCCGAGUUGUAAUUUGUAGAAUUUGUCUUUGAUUAGGUCCUUGUCUAUGUUCCUUGGAACAGGACGUCAUAGAGGGUGAGAAUCCCGUUUGGCGAGGAUACCUUUUCUCUGUAAGACUUUUUCGAAGAGUCGAGUUGUUUGGGAAUGCAGCUCAAAGUGGGUGGUAAAUUCCAUCUAAAGCUAAAUAUUGGCGAGAGACCGAUAGCGAACAAGUACAGUGAUGGAAAGAUGAAAAGAACUUUGAAAAGAGAGUGAAAAAGUACGUGAAAUUGUUGAAAGGGAAGGGCAUUUGAUCAGACAUGGUGUUUUUUGCAUGCACUCGCCUCUCGUGGGCUUGGGCCUCUCAAAAAUUUCACUGGGCCAACAUCAAUUCUGGCAGCAGGAUAAAUCAUUAAGAAUGUAGCUACUUCGGUAGUGUUAUAGCUUUUUGGAAUACUGUUAGCCGGGAUUGAGGACUGCGCUUCGGCAAGGAUGUUGGCAUAAUGGUUAAAUGCCGCCCGUCUUGAA